GCCUAAUACAUGCAAGUCGAACGCUUCUUUCCUCCCGAGUGCUUGCACUCAAUUGGAAAGAGGAGUGGCGGACGGGUGAGUAACACGUGGGUAACCUACCCAUCAGAGGGGGAUAACACUUGGAAACAGGUGCUAAUACCGCAUAACAGUUUAUGCCGCAUGGCAUAAGAGUGAAAGGCGCUUUCGGGUGUCGCUGAUGGAUGGACCCGCGGUGCAUUAGCUAGUUGGUGAGGUAACGGCUCACCAAGGCCACGAUGCAUAGCCGACCUGAGAGGGUGAUCGGCCACACUGGGACUGAGACACGGCCCAGACUCCUACGGGAGGCAGCAGUAGGGAAUCUUCGGCAAUGGACGAAAGUCUGACCGAGCAACGCCGCGUGAGUGAAGAAGGUUUUCGGAUCGUAAAACUCUGUUGUUAGAGAAGAACAAGGACGUUAGUAACUGAACGUCCCCUGACGGUAUCUAACCAGAAAGCCACGGCUAACUACGUGCCAGCAGCCGCGGUAAUACGUAGGUGGCAAGCGUUGUCCGGAUUUAUUGGGCGUAAAGCGAGCGCAGGCGGUUUCUUAAGUCUGAUGUGAAAGCCCCCGGCUCAACCGGGGAGGGUCAUUGGAAACUGGGAGACUUGAGUGCAGAAGAGGAGAGUGGAAUUCCAUGUGUAGCGGUGAAAUGCGUAGAUAUAUGGAGGAACACCAGUGGCGAAGGCGGCUCUCUGGUCUGUAACUGACGCUGAGGCUCGAAAGCGUGGGGAGCAAACAGGAUUAGAUACCCUGGUAGUCCACGCCGUAAACGAUGAGUGCUAAGUGUUGGAGGGUUUCCGCCCUUCAGUGCUGCAGCAAAAGCAUUAAGCACUCCGAGUGGGGGAGUACGACCGCAAGGUUGAAACUCAAAGGAAUUGACGGGGGCCCGCACAAGCGGUAGAGCAUGUGGUUUAAUUCGAAGCAACGCGAAGAACCUUACCAGGUCUUGACAUCCUUUGACCACUCUAGAGAUAGAGCUUUACCUUCGGGGACAAAGUGACAGGUGGUGCAUGGUUGUCGUCAGCUCGUGUCGUGAGAUGUUGGGUUAAGUCCCGCAACGAGCGCAACCCUUAUUGUUAGUUGCCAUCAUUUAGUUGGGCACUCUAGCGAGACUGCCGGUGACAAACCGGAGGAAGGUGGGGAUGACGUCAAAUCAUCAUGCCCCUUAUGACCUGGGCUACACACGUGCUACAAUGGGAAGUACAACGAGUCGGUAGACCGCGAGGUCAUGCAAAUCUCUUAAAGCUUCUCUCAGUUCGGAUUGCAGGCUGCAACUCGCCUGCAUGAAGCCGGAAUCGCUAGUAAUCGCGGAUCAGCACGCCGCGGUGAAUACGUUCCCGGGCCUUGUACACACCGCCCGUCACACCACGAGAGUUUGUAACACCCGAAGUCGGUGAGGUAACCUUUUUGGAGCCAGCCGCCUAAGGUGGGAUAGAUGAUUGGGGUGAA
rnacentral:rRNA from 1 species